rnacentral:tRNA from 1 species
GCCAGGGUAGCUCAGUGGUUAGAGCAGCGCAUUCAUAACGCGAAGAUCGUGGGUUCGAAUCCCACCCCUGGCA